UAAAUUUAAGAGUCAAAUUAUCGUUGACUGACUCAAAUCAAACAUAUUGAAAGGUUUGAUAGUAAAAUCAAAAUUUUAAAAGAUAGGUUAGUAAAGUAAAAGUGUUGAAAGGUUGUGUAGCCAAAUUCAUAUAGUCUAUAAUUCAGAUAAGUUUUAUAUCUUUUAUCUAGUAGAAGUGUAAUAAAAUAGAAGCUAAGAUA
rnacentral:lncRNA from 1 species